UACUUAGUUAAUUAUUACUAAUCUGUUUGUUCUCAAAUUUGUGUAAUAACAAUUUUAUUCUCACUUUUGUUUUUUAAUUAGACGUGUCUUGUCAUGUCAAAAUUACAUAUUACUAUAUUAAAAAAGUUGUAAGUGCCCACCUGUUAGUAUCCCACUUCAAACUACAUGCCAAAAAAAGUCAAAGAAGUCAGUUGAGAACUAGUGUUACAUGGAAAAAAAAAAUAAACACCCGCAUGGGGCAUUCUGG
rnacentral:lncRNA from 1 species